UCUCCCGCAAGGGAGAUAGCGGCAAACGGGUGAGUAACACGUAGGAAACCUACCCUAAAGCGUGGGAUAACCUAACGAAAGUUGGGCUAGUACCACAUGUGCUCGCGAGAUCACCUGGUCUUGCGAGGAAAGGUUGCGGAAACCGAAAGGUUGCUAUCGCUUAAGGAGGGUCCUGCGUCCCAUCAGCUUGUUGGUAGGGUAACGGCCUACCAAGGCGUAUGACGGGUAGCUAGCCUAAGAGGGCGGUUAGCCACACUGGGACUGAGACACUGCCCAGACUCCUACGGGAGGCUGCAGUCGAGAAUAUUUGGCAAUGGGCGAAAGCCUGACCAUGCGACGCCGCGUGCGGGAUGACGGCCUUCGGGUUGUAAACCGCUGUUACGGGGAACGAAGGCUUGCGCUGUGAAUAAUGGCGCAGGAUUGACGGUACCCCGAGAGAAAGCCACGGCUAACUCCGUGCCAGCAGCCGCGGUAAUACGGAGGUGGCAAGCGUUGCUCGGAUUUACUGGGCGUAAGGAGCACGUAGGCGGUCUUGUAAGCCCUACCUGAAAGGCUCUGGCUCAA
rnacentral:rRNA from 1 species